GGCGAACGCUGGCGGCGUGCUUAACACAUGCAAGUCGAACGGAAAGGCCCUGCUUUUGUGGGGUGCUCGAGUGGCGAACGGGUGAGUAACACGUGAGUAACCUGCCCUUGACUUUGGGAUAACUUCAGGAAACUGGGGCUAAUACCGGAUAGGGGCUCCUGCUGCAUGGUGGGGGUUGGAAAGUUUCGGCGGUUGGGGAUGGACGCGCGGCUUAUCAGCUUGUUGGUGGGGUAGUGGCUUACCAAGGCUUUGACGGGUAGCCGGCCUGAGAGGGUGACCGGCCACAUUGGGACUGAGAUACGGCCCAGACUCCUACGGGAGGCAGCAGUGGCGAAUAUUGCCCAAUGGGCGGAAGCCUGAUGCAGAAACGCCGCGUGCGGGAUGACGGCCUUCGGGUUGUAAACCGCUUUCGCCUGUGACGACGCGUGAGUGACGGUAAUGGGUAAAGAAGCACCGGCUAACUACGUG
rnacentral:rRNA from 1 species